AUGGAGUUGCUCUGGUUCACACGUCUCUGACACAAACAUUUAAGCCAAAGCAACAUUGUGGAAAGAAAGGAAAGACAUUUCUGAAAACAAAUGUGUGGUUCUGCCUGAUGGUUCUGGUGAAUCUUCCGCACUUGCUAUGACAAGAAAUUCAAGGAAAAUAAUAGCAGCUAACCAAGCACUGGCCUCCAGCUAAGCAACAUUAAGACAAUUGCAGCUUACCCAGCUCACAGAGGCUGACUCUCCGACCCCCUGCUCCACCAGCCAUGAUGGCAGCAUUCACUGGACAAGACACUGACUUCAAGAGCUUUCUGCUGAUGAGAGACCACGACCUUGGGCUAGUCCUGGCCAGUUUACAGACGCUGUGCACUUGAGCACCUUUGAGUCCUGGAAAGACCUAAUUGGAAUACAUUUACAUGUGAAGCCUCCACCUCAAGAUUCAGAAAUCCCUGUGCCAACUAGAACCCUUUGAAACUAACCCUGACUAUCAUCAACAAGGAAUGUGGCUGCUUCCAUAGCAUAUUUGAAGUACAGAACUCAAGAAAAUGCUUCCUAUUGAUGGAAUUUGUUAGACCACCACACUUCCUGGGAAUUCAGUUUUCUUCCAUUAAAUUCAUCAGACUCAGGUGGAAUUGAGUUGAGUGUCUCUCACAAGCUUUAGGCUGGCAAAAAGAGCUGACACUGCCAACUACAGCUUUUACUGCAAAUACAAGCUGCUUCCUUGCAGCUGGGGAACUUAGUGGAGAUGUGCACACUUGUGGACACUAGGUGCGUGAUGGGGGAGCUUGUAACCCGCCCCUGAUUAUUCUGAACACAAACCACAUCUAGCGGUCAAGUUCUCCUCCUAGGUGGAGAAAUGGAGUUUGAGUGGGAGACAAGGCAUUGCCUUGCAAAUGUCAUUUGCACAGCUGGUCCCAUUUGUAUGGCUUACAUUCAAAUGAGGGCUUAGAGAAAUCCAGCAUCUGAUUGGAUUAAAGUGCACAUUUAAAUAAGAUGCUGCCAGUUCAGCUCUCUAAUUGGACCAAACCACUGCAGGAUGUCAGCCAAUCAGAAUGCACAUACCAGCCUGCCAAGCCCUCUCCACCGCCAGAAUGAAGCGGGGCUACUCUCGGGAAUGGGAGGGCUUGUAACCAUUGGGAAAUCUGUAAAUGUGACUCAUUAUGUUCAUAAAUUUUGAAAAGCAAAAAUUCU
rnacentral:lncRNA from 1 species